rnacentral:rRNA from 1 species
AGAGUUUGAUCCUGGCUCAGAACGAACGCUGGCGGCAUGCCUCAUACAUGCAAGUCGAACGCAGGCUUCGGCCUGAGUGGCGCACGGGUGAGUAGCGCGUGGGAACCUACCCUUUUGUUGGGAAUAACCGAGGGAAACUUCGGCUAAUACCCGAUACGCCGGGAAACCGGGAAAGAUUUAUCGCAGAAGGAUGGGCCCGC